UACAAUCCAAUAUUUAUUUAAUUCAUAUAUCAUUAACACAACAUGACUAAUUAAACAUUGUAAUUUACAAGCAUCUCAAAAAUACAUUGAAUAUUAAACUUAAAAAAUAAAUUUUCAACAUUAGCAUCUUCAAACUCCAAAUUUUCAACACUAACUAGUAUCUUCAAAUUCCAAAAUAAAAUUUAAACACAAAACUUCAACAUUCUAAGAUUCGCUCCAACCACACAAUUACAUCAUCAUAAUUGAAUAUCCUUGCAUCUAUGGGCGAAAUGUGUCCACUAGCAGCAUCACUUGGCUACAUAAAAAUGCAAAGUAUAAAAACCAAUCAGAUAAACUUUCAGUCCUUAUUACAUUUAUAUCUGCAUAACAACUAAAAAAUAUUAUGAUAAAUAUAAAUAGAUCAAUCACAAGUUCGCAAUUUCAAGUUACUACACUUAAUCAUUUUCAAGUCACUAUACUUAAUAAUUUUCAAAUAACUUAUUCACUAGUAUGCAUUUUAAGUCACUACACUAAAACCAUUUUCAAAUAGCUAAUUGACAUUUUUAAGUCACUAAACCAUUUCGAAGUACUACACUUAACCAUUUUCAAGUCAUUACACUUGACCAUUUUUAAAUAACUAGUAGACAUUUCAAGUCACUACAUUUAACCAUUUUCAAAUAACUAAUUCACAUUGCAAGUCACUACACUUAACCAUUUUCAAAUAAUUAAUUUACAUUUCAAGUCACUAUACUUAACCAUUUUCCAAUAACUAAUUCACAUUGCAAGUCACUACACUUAAUCAUUUUCAAAUAAUUAAUUCACAUUUCAAAUCACUAUACUUAACCAUUUUCAAGUAACUACUUCACAUUUCAAAUAACUAUACUUUAUCAUUUUUAAGUCACUACACUUAAUCACUCAUUUCAAGUCACUAAACCACUUUCAAAUAACUAAUUCACAUUUCAAGUAACUACACUUAACUAUUUUCAAGACACUAGUUCACAAUUUCAAGUAACUACACCUAACCGUUUUCAAGUCACAAGUUUGCAAUUUCAAGUAACUACACUUAAUAAUUUUUAAAUAACUUAUUCAUAUUUCAAGUCACUACACUCAAACCAUGUUCAAAUAGCUAAUUGACAUUUCAAGUCACUAUAAACAUUUUCAAAACACUAAACCAUUUUCAACUCUCUAAUUCACAUUUCAAGUGACUAAACCUAACCAUGUUCAAGUCAUAAAUUCACAUUUCAAGUGCCAACACUAAAUUAAUUUCAAGUCAUGAAUUCACAUUUUCAAGUGAUUACACUUUACUAAUUUCAAAACACAAGUUCACCUUUCAAGUAACUACACAAAAUCAUUUUCAAGUCGCUAAUCCACUUCUCAAGUGACUACACUUGAUCAUUUUGAAGUCACUAGUACACAUUUCAAAACACUACACUUGACUAUUUUCAACUCUCUAAUUCACAUUUCAAGUGACUAAACUUAAUCAUUUUCAAAUCAUGAAUUCACUUUUCAAGUGUCAACACUAAACCAAUUUCAAGUCAUGAAUUCAUAUUUUCAAGUGAUUACACUUUACUAAUUAUUCUUAAUUACUCUUAGUUAUUCUUAAUGUAACACCAUAUACACCUAAUUUUGAAAACUACACUAGCCGUAAGCCUCGAAUGAACACUAAGAAAAAACAACAUAGCUGAUCAAUCGCUCCUUAAAAAUAAUAAGAUCAACACUCUUAGCCCUCACCUCCUCGCAAAGUACAUUUUUUCAACAAAACAAAGAAUCAUCAAUCUAAUUCAUAAUUCAAUUACAAUCAAUUGAAUAAAAAAAAUAGCCAACCAAGAAUGGGAAUAAGAAACCUCCCUUAAGGUCAAUGGUAAUUCGACCAGUGAAACCUGGAGGAAACUCCGAAUACCCCGAUAUCUCGAUUGGCUCAAUUCCCAAUAUUCAUAAUUCCAGCACCUACAUACAGAAAAACCAACACCCAAAUAACAAAUUUUAACAAAAAUAAAGAUCAAACAAACAAAUCUAAGUGCAUUGAGUAAAUGCACUAAACAUAUUAUUUUUGUCCAUUUUUUUUCUUUCUGAUUCACUCUUAUGUCCAUUUCUUACAAAGAAGAAGACAACAUAAAUAUGACAUUUCCAUUUACAUAUGUCAAGCACCGGAGUACUCAUGGCUGGUUUUUGAGUUCAGUUUCCAGCAAACUCUACUUUGUUUCUUCAUCUUUUGCAGUGGCGGUAGUUGAAGCCCUACAAAUCGGUGAGCUGUUCCCGAUGGUGGUCUUGUCGGUGACAAGCGGCAGCGAUAGCAACAUUUGAUUAUCCAUCAUCGGCGGUCAGUUUAUGGGGGGAGCGAGAAAGAGAAAGAAAGAAAGAUGGAGUUGCAGAGAGAGUGUAGUGAAGGGGCGGCUGAGUCUUUGCCAAAAAUGAGGGAUUAGGGUUUUCUUUUUGGUUUAAAAGGAAUGAGGAUAGGGUUUAUCCAGUCAUUAGAUCAACUGAUCAACGA
rnacentral:lncRNA from 1 species